GGGGGUUAAAACCCCCGCAAAUACCCGGGGUUAAAAGCCCCGCUAAUACCGGGGGUUAAAACCCCUGCUAAUACCUGGGGUUAACGAGAACGAGAAAAAGAGAGCGUGUGUGUCUAUGUGUUUGUGUAUGUGAUGUGUGUAUUUGUGUUUGCGUGUGUUUAUGUGGGUGAUAUGUGUGUGUAGGUGAAUGGAAGUGUAAGUAUAGGUUUGUGUGUGUGUGUGUGAUAUAUUUGUUUGUAUGGGCCGGUGUGUGCGUAAUAUCUGUGUGUGUUUGUUUGUAUGUGUUUGUGGUGGUAGGUGUGUAUGUGUUUGUGUGUGCAUUCAUGUGUGUAUGUGUAUGUGUGUUUGUGUGUGCAUUCAUGUGUGUAUGUGUAUGUGUGUUUGUGUGUGUAUGUGUGUGUGUGUUGUGUGUGAAUGUGUGUUUGUGCUUGCUUGUUUGUGUGAGAGUGUGUCUGUGUUUGUGUGGGUAAUAUGCGUGUGUGUGGGUGUAUCUGUGUUUAUAAAGUUACGAGUGUUUAUGAAUAUGUUAGUGUAAUAUGUGUGUUUGUGUAUGUAUGAGUGUGUGUGUGUGUGUGAUGUGUGUGUGUGUGUGUGUGUUUAUGUGGAAAACACCCACUAAUACCAGGGGUUAAAACCCCCGCUAAUACAGGAGAUUAAAACCCCCGCAAAUAUCGGGGGUUAAAACCCCCGCUAAUACCGGCGGUUUUAACCCUCGCUAAUAGUGACGCAGCUUUUGCCCAAAGAUUUUCCAAGGGUUUUCCUAAUCCGGGUAACAUACUUUCCGGGGGUUAAAACCCCCGCUAAUACCGGCGGUUUUAACCCCCGCUAAUAGUGAUGCAACUUUUCCCCACAACUUUUCCAAGGGUUUUCCUAAUCCAGGUAACAUACUUUCUAGGGGUUAAAUCCCCCGCUAAUACAGGCGGUUUUGGAAAACCCCCGCUAAUAAUGACGCAGCUUUUCCCUACAACAUUUCCAAGGGUUUUCCUAAUCCGGGUAACAUACUUUCCAGGGGUUAAAACCCCCGUUAAUACCGGCGGUUUUAACCCCCACUAAUUGUGACGCAACUUUUCCCUCAGCUUUCCCAAGGGUUUUCCUAAUCCGGGUAACAUAUUUUCCACGGGUUAAAACCUCCGCUAACACCGGCGGUUUUAACCCUCGUUAAUAAUGACGCAGCUUUUCCCACAGCUUUUCUAAUGGUUUUCCUAUGCCGGGUAACAUUCUUUCCGGAGGUUAAAACCCCCGUUAAUACCAACAGUUUUAACCUCCGCUAAUACUGGCGGUUUAAUCGCCUGCUAAUAGUGACGCAACUUUUCCCCACGAUAAAAUCACUCAUUAUAAGAUCACGCACGAUAAAAUCACCCACUAUAAGAUCACCCACGAUAAGAUUACUCGCAAUAAGAUUACCCACAAUAAAAUUACCAACGAUAAGUUCACCUCUUGAUAAGAUCGCCCACGAUAAGAUUACCCAAGAUAAAAUCACCCACGAUAAAAUCACCCACUAUAAGUUCACCCACGAUAAGAUCACCCACUCUAAGAUCACCCAUGAUAAGAUUAAUCACGAUAAGUUCACCCACGAUAAAAUCACCUACUAUAAGAUCACCUACGAUAAGAUUACCCAAACAAACAUACAUACACACACGCAGACACAUAUUACACAACCCACACACACACACAUACAAACUUAUACCCACACACACAUAUCACCCACAUAAACACACACACACACAAACACUCUGACAAACACAUGUAUUAAACACAUAAACACACACGCACAACCGUAUAAACAAAUACAUACUCACACCCACCCACCCACACACAUAUUACACACACAAAGACACAAACACAUAAACACUAUAAGAUCACGCACGAUGAGAUUACCCACAAUAAAAUCACCCACGAUAAGGUCACCCACUAUAAGAUCACCCACGAUAAAAUCACGCACUAUAAGAUCACGCACUAUAAGAUCACUCACGAUAAAAUCACCCACUAUAAGAUCACCCACAAUAAGAUUAACCACAAUAAGAUUACUCACGAUAACAUCGCCCACGAUAAGAUUACCCACUAUAAGAUCACCCAUGAUAAAGUUACCCACUAUAAAAUCACCCACUAUAAGUUCACUCACGAUAAGAUCACCCACGAUAAUAUUACCCACGAUAAGUUCACCCACGAUAAAAUCACCUAUUAUAAGAUCACCCACGAUAAAAUCACCCACUAUAAGAUCACCCACGAUAAAGUCACUCAUUAUAAGAUCACGCACAAUAAAAUCACUCACUAUAAGACCACCUACCAUAGAAUUACCGACGAUAAGUUCACCUCUUGAUAAGAUCGCCCACAAUAAGAUUACCCAUGAUAAAAUCACCCACGAUGAGAUCACCCACGAUAAAAUCACCCACUCUAAGUUAACCCACGAUAAGAUCACUCAUUCUAAGAUCACCCACGAUAAGAUUACCCACGAUAAGUUCGCCCACGAUAAAAUCACCUACUAUAAGAUCACCCACAAUAAGAUUACCCAAACAAACACACAUACACACACCCACACGCAUUUUACACACAGAAACACACGUACACACAAAAAAUGACUCACACACAGUCUUUCACAAACACAUAUAUUAAACACAUAAACACACACACAUGCACAACCGUAUAAACAUAUAGCCACACACACCCACAUACACACACAUUACGCAGACAAAGACACUCACAUACAAACACUCCCAAACACAAACAAACACACACACAAACAAAAAAAAACACACACACACGUAUACACACAAAAACCCAUCCACACAUACAUACACAUUAACACAUAUAUAUUACAUACACAAAAACACAUAGUACACACACAAACAAACACACACACACACACUCUCACACACAAAAACACAUACACAAACACGUAAUUGUAUAAACACAAACACAUACGCACUCACACACACACAUAUUACCCUCACAAACACAAACACACAUGCAUACAUGCACACACAUAAACACACACACACAAACAUAGACACACACACAUGCACAUAUAUUACACACACAUACACAAACCUAUACUUACACUUCCAUUCACCUACACACACAUAUCACCCACAUAAACACACGCAAACACAAAUACACACAUCACAUACACAAACCCAUAGACACACACACACUCUCUUUUUCUCGUUCUCUCUCUCAAACAUUAAAACAUAAUAUCACACACACACACACACACACUCACACAUACAAAUACAAAAACAAACACAUACAAACACAAAUAAAAAUGCACACACUAACUCACGCCCAAACAAACACACACGCACGCACACAAUCACAUGGACACACACAAACACAAAAACACACAAACAUUCUGACAAACACAUGUAUUAAACACAUAAACACACACAAGUCUAUUUGUUGCUUGCUUUCUUGAGUGCAUUGAGUUGACAUUUUUUACCAGAGACACUUGAGAGAAACAUUGAUAGUGAAUUGUUGAGGCUCUGUUGCUUUUGAUUCACCUCUUGAACUGAUUGAUCAUUUUGCAGUGCUUUGAAUUGCUUGGAUGAUUUCUCUGAGUAUCUGCUUUCUCUAAUUCUGUGUUGGAUACUGUCUACUUCCUUUUCCUUGUCCGAAUUUCUUGAGGAUUGUAAUUCUUUUUGUUUCUUUCCUUGUCAGUCUUUGUUGUCUGUGUGUUGAGUCUGUGUCAAUUCCCUGAUGUCCGUUGAACUGUUCCCUGAUUUGCGUUUUGAUUUUGCCCAGGAGUGCAAAAGACUAAGUAUGGUCUAUUUUGAUGAGUCGAUAUUUUAUUGAUUUCACUUAGUUUAUUGUGCUAAAAUUAAUCAGGGAAUUGUGCUUAAUUGUUCGGUAUUUUCCUGUUUUUCCUAAUUAUGCUUAAUUUGACCAAAAAUUGUAAUUUUAAUUAAUUUGAAUUUUCUGAGCUAAUUAUUUGCAUUAUUAUUUUCAGGGAAAAUUUUGGAAGCACAAUUUAGGACAUUUGGAGGACACCAAAUAAAUUCAAGACUCUCCAUUUAGACAUUUUAAAUUUCAGUUGUAUUGUAAUUCUAAUAGUUUAAACUUUUUAGAUAAGCUUGUGCACAUUGGGCCAAUUUUUGACAAAAACAUGAUGGGCCCAAAUAGUAAAAAGACACUUAGCAACAUUAGGGUUUUUAGGGUGGAUCCCACCCUAAUUUUUAAGGACACAUGGCCCUUAGAAAAUAGCAGUCGUCACUUUUGGAGAUUCACCCACUCGGCAUUUUUGGAGAAAAAGGCAACACAUUACAGCAGAGGAGAGGAGAGGAGAUUAAAAGUUCAACAUGGAGGGUGACGGCUAGAGCAAUUCUAUUUUCUAGCACUUGAAGUUUAUUCCAGAAGCACAUUUCUUUCUUUAUUUUAGAAAGCAAACGAUGCAUCGUUGAUUGAUGGAGAGCUUUAUUAUCAUUGAUGGGAUUUUUUUAUUGUCAUUCAACUUUAAUUUAUGAAGCACACGGAUGGCCGCAAUAAGAAGCACGUGAAUUUAUUUUGGAGGCACAUGAUUUUCAAUUAAUGAGAGAAGUGUGGUGUCACGGUGGAAUAAAAGAAUUCAUUGAUUUCAUUUCCGCCACCCACAAAGUUUUAAUUAUUGAAUGGCAAUUGCAGAGUGCAGGCGGUGGGCAUCACUUUCUAAGCAUGAGUUGCUAAUUUCUUUUAAUUCAUUGCAAGUUGGUUUUAAUUUUUAAGGCCACUCACGGAUGCCACGAGAUAGGAGCAGUGCCACGGCCUGGCUGCAAGGGAGUUGUAAUUGGCUUUAUUUAUUUUGUUUUAGUUCUUGCACCAAGAAUAUUAUAUAUUAUAUAUAGAAUAGCUUUACUUAUUUUAUAUAAUUUUCUUUUCCAGCGUUUUAAUUUAUUAUUUCCAUGAUGAUUAGCAUUUCAAUUGUUUUCACUCAAGUGUUGCAUUUUAAUAAUUUUAAUUUUGUUUGGAUAUUUAUUUAUUGUAUUGUUCGGUCUUCAUGUUUUGUUCAUUUAUUUCGAUGUUCUCAAUUAUUUUUGUUUGUAUUUAAUUUCCUGUUUUAAUUUAAUUCAUUUCAAUCACAAAACCUUUCACAAACACCCUCCCUCUUCGUGUUAGACCUAAUUCUCAAACCACAUUUGGUCCUUGAGAGACGACCUAGGAAUCACUUCCUAAUCUAUACUGCAUUUCUUAAUAUGCAAUCAAAUUUGUGUGAGUUGCGAUAGCCCAUCAGCUUGCCAGUGAGUCAACACCUCCUAAAUCAGUUCAUGCAAACAGGCCCUUAUAGGUUUUUAGUUCUUUGGUAGGAUGUUUGCAUUGUAUUUUUGUACAUGGGUUUGGUUCAGCCCCUAUGUAUUUUUUAUUUUGUUUCUUUUAAUAAAUUUUUCAUGUGAUAACAAAUAAUUAGUGUGCUUUAGAUAUCAACAUUUCCAAGAUGCCAACAAAAGGCUCAGCAAAUAUCAUAUUCCAGAAACCAUAUACAUCAUCAUACCCAUUUAUAGAUAAAAACAAAUAAACAAUUAACCAAUGUACACCAAAAAGAUUACCUGCAGGGCUUCAAGGAAAAUGGUUAGGCAACUCGAUUGUAUCGAAUAUUCAAAUAAGGUAGAAAGUACACCAAACUUCUUUUUAGUCUCAAUAUGACCUGAAGGAAAGCCCACAAAUGCAAACAUAAUACCAAACCAAUAAAGCAGUAACCUGAAAAAGAAAUGUGCAAAAUCCAACCUGUAAUGUCUUGUGCCUAAACAUGAAUUCACGUAAAUCAAUCCUGUCAGUGACUUACAGUCUCACAAGUUCAACUCCCUAAGAUUCUACAACCUCUAGACUGUAAACCAUGCACUUGGUACAAAAUAAAUAUAAUUUUUAUUAGAAAAUGAUAACAUCCUUUUUCAGGCCUUCCAAUGAAUAAGUAGGAUUAAUCAUUCUUAGUCUAACUUAAUUUGGCACAAAAAAUGAGAAUUUACUUUCGAAACUAAAUGCAGGUCCUGCACUGUCAGUGAGGAAUGCAGUUCAAGUUUUAACUUAAUCUAAAUGGACAAGAAACAAUCCCAAGGGAAUUAGAUAAAGACUUAUCAUCAGUGUUUUUUUUUCUCAUUAGUGAAGUGAUUCAGACAAGUACUUAUCAGACACAAGAAAAAAAAGUUAUAGGAUCAACUUACUAUGUAUCUCUGGUCAGGGCCUAUUUAAAAGCCUAUCCAACUAAAAGAUAGCUUUAGGUCAUCGAGAAAAUAAUUAAAUAUUUGUUAGUACUAUUGAGUGAACGUAGAUAAAAUAAAAUCAGCGUUUAGAACCGUGUAUUAUGAAAAAAUAGAUGUUAAAGUUUUAGACUUUCAUUAAUUUUAAGUAAUAACUUAUACGUGUGCUUUCAUUAUCAAUAAUAGCAGAAGUCACCUGAAGAAACCUCGUCACAGAGCAUAUUCCUUAUUUGAGCAGAAGAUGGCGAGGUAGACAAAGCUAACGUCAAGCAACCAAUAGCAGCAGCCUGCCAACAAAAGUCAAUGUUAUAAUGUCAUUUUUAGAGAACGACAAACAAAACUUUGGACAAUUAAUCGGACAACUAACCAGCAGACNACUUCGUUCACUUUUCAACCAAAAUCCUUCUUCAAUCCUUGUCCUAAUAGAUGUAACAACAAGAGACAACGAAUUUGGUGGCAUUCUUGAAUAUCUGUCAAAACAAUGAUUCAGUAGACAUACUUAUUUUACAUUAGGAAGCAGAGAAGGAAAUAAAACACCUAAUCUGCAUUAAAGAAUCAAGAAGUAUAAAUGGUGUUAGUGCAAUUUAUGCAAUUAAAUAUUUAGCCUAUAGUUAAAUUGAUAAAUAUCAUUAUCUUGAAUUAAUUGUUUUAUUCUAUCUACAAGAAACACAAAUACUCACACGCCUAUGUAUCUAAGGAACCAACCUCAGUCACCCAUCAGAUAACAACAUAAAGAAAGUAGCAUAUUGAAAAAGCAGUAGAUACCAAGAAAAAAAGAUUUCAUUUUCAGCAAAAUAUACUUCACAACCAAAUGAAUGUCCCUAAAAGUAUACAAAGAAACUCGUCACUUCAUGCAUGCCAAAAUCAACGCCCACUUCUUAUAUCAUAAUUGUCAGACAAUAUCUUAAACUAUUUCACAGAAAACCAAGAACACAAAAGAAUCCAAAACAUAAAACACAAACAAGUUCUGAUCCUAAUUUCCAUAAUCAAAGUACAUGACGCAAAUUCCAACAAACUCCACCGAUUGCUUCAUCCGAAACGAUGGCACCACUAAAACAGAUUAUUAUCAAAGUUGUAAGCAUCUCUCACCAGGUUUAACACAAUGUCGCUCCAACGAUCAACGGAGCAAGAGUCUUGAAGAGAAUAAGUGAAGGAGAUUGUGGAACGUAGGCCACUGCAUCAAGUUAUUCCUUGGUCAAGGUCAUCGUGUACUCGAAGCCACCACAAACGACGAUAGGGGAAAAGGAAUUGCUUUUGAUGAAGACAUGAAUUAUCUGAUGCAAUCCUAAUCGAGUUCCCUCGAUGUCGUGGUAAGUUGAUGUUGGUGAGGGUUAUCUGCGAGAAGAAGAACGAAGGUUUUCAUUUCUCUCUAAGUAAUUUUUGAGGAAAUAAAUAUUUAGGGUUUCUUUCUUUUGGUUGGGAGUGAAAAGAAGCUCAGUGAAAUCGCAAGGAGGUCGAGGGAAAACGCUCAAAUAGAUAGUGUUAUUUUUAAAAAGGUUUAUUUAUUUUUUUAGAGUGUUUUUUUUAAGUGUUAUCUAUUAAGUUGAAAUAAAUAGUGCUUUUUUAAACAGACGUUAUCUAUUGGUUUAUUUUAGAUUAUGAAUUAAAAAAAUAAUAUUAAUUAUUUAUAGAUAGCGAAAAAACGCUAUAUAUUAUCAUAGAAAUAAAUAGCGCUUAUUUAAAUAAGUGUUAUUUAUUGUUCCGCACAUUCAUAGAUAACGCUUAUUUAAAAAAAAGUGUUAUCUAUCAUUAAUUUUGUAGUAGUGAUUGGAGCUUUUCAAGGACUAAUGUGAUGACUAUGGCUUUGGAUGACCAAAUUGAGGGCUCUAAAAUAUUUCUAAUACAUUUCUGAAUUUUUCUAGGAUGUAAGUUUUCUGAAUUUUUAGAACAUAAACUAUUAUUUAACCUAUGGACUAUGACUUGAGAGGGACACUAGAUUGUUCAAGCCAUUUUCUCUUUGGUGGGAUGUAACUCUAAUUUACACAACUAUAAUACUAACCGUAAUUAGUACAGACUAGUUACAUAUAUUUCACUAUUGGACAAGAAAAGAGACAGCCAAAUUUCACUUAGUUGAAGNGAUUUUCUAGUUUAUGAAUUAUUCUAUGUUUGGCUUCUAAAAAGAUAAAGCAUCCUGCUAAUUAGAAUCAACUGCAUUGUGUAAGACAACACAAGACAAAUGAAAAUGUUUUGCUUUGACCACUUACGAGAGGAGAUAUUCUUGUUGACAUGUUCCAAAAAACUAGGCCAUGAAUAUUUCCCGGAAAUACAUCAAAGCCAAGCCUGAUAACAACAAACAUACAUGUAAUAAUUCUUCAAAAACAGAUAUUAUCUUGAGAUGCACAUACUAUUUUGACUGGUGUAACAGACCUUGAUCAUAGGCUGCCAAGGUGGGAGAGCCGACAAACCGCUAGAUACUCAACUGAACCAAAAAAGUUUAACUUAUUAGACUACCACUAUUGUCCUAACAUCAUUCUGACAUCCAAGCAACUGAAACAAUAGAAAAAAAAUCACGAUACAGAGGGAGGGAGACUGGUACAGAACAGAGGAGGCAGGGUAAAAUCUAAACAGAAAAGUUCUUCAGUCCUAUAUGUUAUGCCAAUAUCACAAGUAAUAACAAGAUAAAGGAUUUAGUCGACGCUACACUAAAAUAUGAUGCAACACAAAUUUACCCAACCACUAUUCAGGUCUCUACGUUAUAUUCACACGAUAAGAAAUAUUAUACAAAUUGAACCCAGACUAGUAAAGAUUGAGACGACAACAUUACUCACCCCAUUGAGAAUCAAAUAUUUCAUGCUGAAGAUAAACAACUUUACAUGCAUCUCACCUUUAAAGUUAGAUUUCAGUCAUUAGACUCUACACAAAGCAAUAACAAUAAUCAAGUCUCCCUAUUGUCAUUUCUUCCAAUAUUGUCAUAAUCAUAUAUAAUCGGAAGCCAAAACUGAGAAUGCAAACUCGUCCGAGUUAACAAGUUAACUCGCGAGUUUGAUAACAUUGUUUAUAGUGCAUAAAUUGAAAUGUGGAUUAUAAGGUAAACUGUACAUACAGUGAUAAGUUGUUUGCACUCUAUGAGAAACAAGAUUGUGAAGUUGAUCAAGAAUUCUCAUUAUUAGUUAUAACUCACAAAUAUUGAUGAAAGCAACACAUCAUUUUAAAGGAGUCAAAAUCAAAAAGUAAUUGCAAAAAGCAUCAGAUAAGACCACACAAAAAUUACGACAUACUUCAUAAUUUGAAGAGCUUAUUGAGUCGUCUGUUAACUAAGCCUCUAACUAGGGAACAAAGGUACAUGAACUCUUACAUUUUUGUGCUUAGUUAUUGAUUUUGAGUGGUGUUCCCAGCUGUUAGCAGUCGACAAACUUUGGAUUUAGGAUUUGAUGGGUUCUAGAGUAGAUUCAAGCCAAAACCGACGAGGAUUUAAAAGAAUAAUAAUUCUAGUGUUAUCUAUCAAAGAGUCGGAUCCAGGUAGCUGACUAAGUCGAAGAAAAAAAAUUAGGCUUAUAGCAGUAUUAACUUUGCUCUUCAUAGUAAAGUGCAAAGAGAGUUGGAAAUAUCUUCUUCUUAGCAACCGAAGGCUCCAACAACAGUAAUACUAACAAUGGACUCGUUUUCAUCCUUUUCAAAAUCGUCUUCAACUAGAGACUCCUUUGGGGACUUAAUAGAUAAUAAUUCAGCAUUCACCUGUUUGUGAGAAGUGCCAUUUUCAACAGGUGUCAACGAAGCAACUACUGCACCUACAUUCAGAAAUCACACGCCAUGUAUGACUAAGGAUUUUCCAAACCAAAUAUCAUAAGAAUAAAUAAUAUAUGCACUACCAGUGUAAUUUUAUACAUGGUCAUCCAAUCACAACCAAUCAGACAUAGUAAGCUUGGAAUAAACCCUCAAUUUCAUCCCUAGAGCAUUACUCUCUCUCCUAUGUGGCCCCUAAAGAAGGAAAGAUAUACAAGUAACACUUAUGCGUUUAUAAGUGUUUCUAGGGGUUUUUAGUGCUUUUUAAGGGUUUAUAACGGGUUUUGAAGGGUUUAUAAGUGUUUUUAGGGGUUUUUAAGGGUUUAUAGUGNUUUUUUAGGGGUUUAUAAGUGUUUAUAGGGGUUUUUAGUGGUUUUUAAGGGUUUAUAUUGGUUUUUUAAUAUCUCUAAGUGUUUUAAGGGGUUUUUAGUCAUUUUUAAGAGUUUAUAUUGGUUUUUGACUGGUUUAAAAGUGUUUUUAGUGGUUUUUGAGGGGUUUAAAAUUGUUUUUAGUGGAUUUUAAGGUUUUAUAGUGGCUUUUGCUGGGUUUAUAAGUGUUUUUAGUGGUUUUUAAGGGUUUAUAGAGGGUUUUGAGGGGUUUAUAAGUGUGUUUAGGGGUUUUUAGUGGUUUUGAGGAUUUUUAGUGGUUUUGAAGGGUUUGUAGUGGAUUUUAAGGGGUUUAUAGGUGUUUUAAGGGAGUUUUAGUGGUUUUUAGGGGUUUAUAGUGAUUUUUCAGGGGUUUAUAAGUGUUUUGAGAGGUUUUGUAGUGGUUUCGAAGGGUUUAUAGUGGUUUUUUAAUAAUUUAUAAUGGCUUUUAGGGGUUUAUAGUGGUUUUUAAGGGGUUUAUAAGUGUUUUGAGGGGGUUUUAGUGGUUUUUAGGGGUUUAUAUUGGUUUUUUAGGGGUUUAUAAGUGUUUUGAGGGUUUUUAGUUAUUUUUAGUUGUAUUUCUUGGUUUUUAAGGAGUAUUUUUGGGUUUUUAGAGUAUUUAUGGGGUAUUUUCGAGUUUUUAUGGUUUUUAAGGUGUAUUUUUGGGUUUCUAGGAUUGUUAAAGGGAAUUUUAUGCUUUUUUGGGUUUUUUUGGGGUAUUUUUAAGUUUUCAGGUUUUUUUAGGGGUAUUUUUGGAUAUUUAGGGUUUUAAAGGGGUAUUUUUGGGGUUUUAAGGUUUUUUAGGGGUAAUUAUGGGUUUUUAGGGGUUUUAAGGGGUAUUUUUGGGUUUUUAGGGAUAUUUUUGGGUUCUUAGGGUUUUUAAGAGGUAUUUUCGGGUUUUUAGGGGUAUUUUCGGGUUUUUAGGGUUUUUAAGGGAUAUUUUUCUAUUUUUAGGAUUUUUAAGGGGUACUUUCGGGUUUUUAUGGUUUUUAAGGGGUAUUUUUGGGUUUUUCGGAUUUUUAUGGGAAAUUUUUUGCGUUUUUAGGGUUUUUAAGGGGUAUUUUUGGGUUUUUAGGUUUUUUAAUGGAUAUUUUUCUUUUUUUUAGGGUUUUUAAGGAGUAUUGGGUUUUUAGAGUAUUUAAUGGGUAUUUUUGAGUUUUUAUGGUUUUUGAGGAGUAUUUUUGGAUUUUUAGGGUUUUUAAGGGGUAUUUUUGGGCUUUUAGGAUUUUUUAAGGGGUAUUUUUGAGUGUUUAGGGUUUUUAGGUGUAUUUUCGGGUUUUUAGGGGUUUUAAGGGAUAUUUUUCUUUAUUUAGGGUUUUUAAGGGGUAUUGUUGGGUUUUUAGACUCGACCAUCGUCAAAGCGUCCUUCUCCUUUUUUGUUCUUCUCCAUCAUCUUGUGCACCUUCGACUCGACCAGUUCUGCUGCUGGUGAUGUCGCCGAUGAUUAUCAGAAACUACCUAUCACCAUGCUUCGAAUUGCUGUUUUUUUUUUUUAGUGUUGGAUGAUUUUUUAUUCUGUUGAGUGGAGAAUGCAAUUAGGUGAAGUAGGAAUCAGGAUUCGUCUAUGGUUUGAAGAAUAUGUUGGCAAAAAUGAAAGAUGAACCGUGAUGGAUAUUGUGAGUAUGAUGGUCUCUGUUUUUGGUGGCUUUGUGCUAAUGGAAGAUUGAGGAUCAUGAGUUAUACUGUAGGAAAGGGGAUGGUGGCAGUCGUGAGUGUGUGAAUCUGUUGGAGGUGAAUGGAGAAGGAUUGGGUAGUGGUGAAUGAUGGAAUGGAGGGUGAGAAAUGGUGAGGAAGCAAGGGUGGUUUCGGGUGGAAAAUGGUUUUCUCCUCAGCUUGAUUUCUGUGUGUUUUUGCUGAUAGAAAACCCAAGAUGAAGAAGGAGCAUGUGGUGUGUGAUGGUUGCCUCAUGGAGGACCAAUUCGGUUGGCCCUUCCUUUAGUGAAUUAAUGGAUAGUGUUAUAGAUGCUGGACCGUAACCGUUUCUACUCUGCCUCCAAUACGUCUCUCCACACGUCUUUUUUUCAAACCAAAUUUUUUCUUUUUUCGUUUUUUUUUCUUUUCCACGUAUUGUUUUCUUUUUUUUUUGCUUUUCUUAUUUUUGUUUUUUUAAGACUAAAAAAAAUAGUAAAUGAAAUAAAAAAUAAUAAAAUAAUAUAAAAAUGAAAGAAAAUAAAAUAAAAUAAACAAGUCAUAUUAUUCAGUCAUCCGGAUGAAAAUGGGUGUUGACAGGGCGCUCCAAAUACACUACCAACAAGUUUUGAUAACUACUCAAAUAGCAAUUGAUACUCAUGACGAUUGAUUCUUCCUGUGUUAGCUAAACCAAAAUCGCAAAACCAAACCUAAUUGAGAAGGAAACCGAAUUUUCGUGCAAGGCGUUGAAGAAGCUCUUGUUGCGCUCCAUGGAGGCCUCAUCGUAGGUCAUGGCGUUUUUCCAUUGCUCACCUUGAAACCGAGCCUUAAUCCCUAAUUAUGUUUCUCUCUGGGCGUUUAAUGCCCUCUCUCUCACUCGCCGUUAUUUCCCCUCUAGCCCUAUGGUUUCGGAUAAGGAAAAAAAAAGAAAACAAAGGAGGAAGAAGAGAUGAUGCCGCUCCGAGAAGAAGACCAAGCGAAUCGAUUUUGACUUCUUGAAUCUCCCUCCAAUGAAUGAAUCGCAGCGGAAUGAUGACAAUAAUUCGAAGGAGAACUCAAAUCAGAGGAUGAACUCACAGGAACUCUAAAACCCAAGGUUAAUCUGAACAUGAAGGAACCCUAGAAAGGUGAAGAAACUCAAAACGAACCGAUUAAUUGGUUCAAACGCAAGAUUAAACGGUGGAAAUGCUAGUUUGUUCGGUGGAAACUGGUUUAAUCAGUGCAAAAUGGAAACCAAUCAGUGGAAAUGGUGAAAAACAUAAGGAAUAGGUGUUCUAGGGCUUAGGAACUCGAAAAAUAUAGAGGAGAACGAGAUGUGAAAAUUGAAGGAAGAGGACGAUUCUGUGAUGAAAUGAGACUUACGCUGAAGUUCGCAGAUGAAAAGCUCGAGAACGAGAUGUUUUUCAGUGAUGAAGAAAAUGUGAGAAAUGAAGUGGUUAUCCGAUACGCAAGAGAAUAUGGUUCUCGCCGAUUUCUUUUGGCUUUUCAGCCUGGCCAAAAGAGAAAAUAUCAGAAAAAAAAAGAGAAAAUAAAUAAGGACAACAAAUUAAAAAAUAUCAAGUUUCAUUUCAAUGGGUUUAAAACCAAAUCGUCGUCACUUUACUACUACUAAGCCAAUUAAUUUUUAUUAAGUAUUUAUUCAUUUAAUAUUAUUUUAUGGUUUAAUCAUUAGUUUCUAAUUAUGAUGAUUUUUUCUAUUUAUUCAUCUCUCAUUUAUUUUAUUUUAAUUGAAUCCUUAUUUUCAAAAAAAUUAAGUAAUUUGUAUUAAUACCGUUAUGAAAUUUUCAAAUAUUUUAUUAAUUAUUUUUAUUUUUAUUUUUUUAAAAUAAAAAAAAAAUUUCACGUGUUUCAGGUUUAGGGUAUAGGGUUAAGGAUUUUGGGUCUCAGGGUUUGCGUUUAUGGUUUUGGGUUUUUUGUUAAAGGGAUUUAGAGUUUAUGGUUUUAUUAGGUUGUGGAAAUGAUGUAGAAAAGGAGUAUAAAAGACGUAGAAAGAUGUACAAUUGGUGUAGAAAAAGUAUAGGAAGAGGAUAAAACAAGUCUGUAAAUGGUGUAGGGUUGAGUGGGAUUUGAUUGCAGUUAAGGUUGGAUAGGGUUAGGUCGGGUCGGGUUGAGGUUGGGUUGGAUUGGGGUUGGGAUCGGGGUUGGGUUGGGUUGGGUUGAGUUGGGUUCGAGUUGGGUUCGGGUUGGGGUUGGGGUUUGGGUGGGGUGGGGGAUGGAUUGGGUUGCGUUGGGGUUGGGUUGGGUAGGGUUGGGUUGGGGGAGGUUGGGUGAUAGCUCCACUCUUUAACCAUGGAUCAGAUCCGUGAGCUGCAGCAAGCAGAAAAUACAGCAGCAGAGGUAAUGGACGAAGUGAAUGAUGAAUAGGCAGCNGAAGGCAAUAUGAUGGGUUCUAUGAAGUGGAGGAAGUGCUUGUAUGGGUGGAUCUAGCUCAGACAGCCCUCACCAUUGGAAGGAAGCUAGAGGAUUGAAUGNGGGGGUGGGGGUUGGAUUGGGUUGCGUUGGGGUUGGGUUGGGUUUGGGGAGGUUGGGUGGGAUGGGAUUGGGUUGGGUGACGUUAGGUUAGGUGGGGUGAUAUUGGGUGGAGUCGGGUGGGUUUGGGGUUCGAUUGGGUUGGAAUGGGUUGGGUGGGUUUGGUUAGGUUGUGUUGGGUCGGAUUGGGUCUGUCUAGGAGGGGUCAGGUUGAGUCGGAUUGGGUUGGGUUAGGUUAAAUUGAAUUGGAUCGGGUGGCCUUCGGUUAGGUUGUUUUGAAUUGAGUUCAGUUGGAGUGGGUUGGGUUCAGUUAGGGUGGGUUUGGCUGGGUCGGAUUUGGUGGGAUCAUGAUGGGUUAGUUCCGGUCGGGUUUGGUUAGAUUGGGGAUGAGUAAGGUUAGUGUUUGGUUGGGGUUAGACUAACCAGAUCGGAUUAUACCGGAUCGAAACAGACCGGGUUGGACCAGACCUCACCCAACCGAACCCAACCCAACCCGACCCGACCCGACCCAACUGAACCAAACCGAACCCAACUGAUCCCAACCGAACCAAAUCGAUCGCAUCCAAACCGAACCGCACCUCUCCCAACCAAACUGGACCAAACCAAAUCGAUCCCAUCCAAACUGAACCGCACCCCACCCAACCAAACGUAACCAAACCAAAUCGAUCCCAACCCAACCCAACCCAACCCAUCUGAACCGAACACAAACGAACCCAGCCAAACCCAACCCAACCAAACCCAACCCAAUACAACCCAACCCAACACAAUCGAAUCUAACCCAACCCAGCUUAACCUAAUCGAACCCAAACAAACUGAACCGAACCCAAACAAACUGAACCGAACCCAACCAAACCGAACAACCCAACCAAACCCAAUCCAACUGAACGCAACUGAACCCAACCCAAUCGAACCUAACCCAACCAAAAAGGGACUAACCAAAGCUAACCUAACACAACUGAACCCAACCAAACCGAACCCAACCCAAUCAGAUUGAACUCAACCAACCGAACCGAACCUAAAUAAACCAAUUUGAACUCAACCGAAUCGAACCGAACCUAACCCAUUCCAAACGAACCCAACCGAACCCAAAAAUACCUAACCCAACUCAACCGAAUCGAACCCAACCCAACCCAGCUCAACCCAUUCGAACUGAACCUAACUGAUCCCAACCGCCGGUAUUAGCGGGGGUUUUCCAAAACCCGAACAUACCAUUAAAAAAUCCUAAAAUCCCAAAAAUACCCCUAAAAAAGCCUAAAAAUCCAAAAAUACUCCUUAAAAGCCAUAAAAACGCGAAAAUGCCCCUUAAAUACUCUAAAAACCCAACAAUAGCCUUAAAAACCAUAAAAAAAGAAAAAUAGCCCUUAAAAACCCUAAAAACCCGAAAAUACACCUAAAUACCCUAAAAACCCAAAAAUACUCCUUAAAAAAAUUCUAAAAACCCAAAAAUACCCCUUAAAAACCCUAAAAACCCAAAACUACUCCUUAAAAACCAUAAAAACUUGAAAAUCCCCAUUAAAUACUCUAAAAACCCAAUACCCCUUAAAAACCCUAAGAAAGAAAAAUAUCCCUUAAAAACCCUAAAAAUACCAAAAUACACCUAAAAACCCUAAAAACACAAAAAUACCCCUUAAAAACCCUAAAAAUCAGACAAUACCCCUAAAUCACCCUAAAUACCCCAAAAAAACCCUAAAAUACCCCUAAAAAAUCCUAAAAACCCGAAAAUACCCCUAAAAAACCCCAAAAACCCAAAAAUACUCCUUAAAAACCCUAAAAAGAAGAAAAAUAUCCCUUAAAAAACCUAAAAACCCGAAAAUAACCCUAAAAAAUCCUAAAAACCCAAAAAUACACCUUAAAAAGUCGAAAAUACCCCUUAAACACUCUAAAAGCCCAAAAAUACUGCUUAAAAACCCAAAAAUACAACUAAAAAUCACUAAAAACCAUCAAAACAGUUAUAAACCCCUAAAAAACCAAUAUAAACCCCUAAAAACCACUAAAACCCCCUCAAAACACUUAUAGACCCCUUAAAAACCACUAUAAACCCUUCAAAACCACUACAAAACCUCUCAAAACAUUUAUAAACGCCUUAAAAACCACUACAAACUCCUCAAAAUCACUAAAACCCCCUGAGAACACCUAUAAACCCCUUAAAAUCCACUACAAACCCUUCAAAACCACUAAAACCCUCAAAACCACUUAAAACCCCUAAAAACACUUAUAAAUCCUUCAAAAACCUCUAUAAACCCUUAAAACCCACUAAAAACACUUAUAAACCCAUCAAAAGCCACUAUAAACCCUUAAAAACCACUAAUAACAAUUUUAAACCCCUCAAAAACCACUAAAAAUACUUUUAAGCCAGUCAAAAACCAAUAUAAACUCUUAAAAACGACUAAAAACCCCUUAAAACACUUAGAGAUAUUAAAAAACCAAUAUAAACCCUUAAAAACCACUAAAAACCCCUAUAAACACUUAUAAACCCCCAAAAAACCACUAUAAACCCUUAAAAACCUUUAAAAACACUUAUAAACCCUUCAAAACCCGCUAUAAACCCUUAAAAAGCAUUAAAAACGCCUAGAUACACUUAUAAACGCAUAAAAAACCACUAUAAAUCCUUAAAAACCACUAAAAAUCACUAAAAACAACUAAAAACACUUAUAAACCCCUCAACAACCACUAUAAUGUUUUGUUUGUGUAUGAAUGUGUGUGUGAUUGUGUGUGUUCGUGUUUGAGAGAGAGAGAAAGAAAGAAAGAAAGAUUGUGUGUGUAUUUGUGUCUAUGUGUUUCUGUGUGUGUUUAUGUGGGUGAUAUGUGUGUAUGGGCGAAUAGGAGUGUGGGUAUAAGUUUUUAUGUGGGUGUGUGUGUGUGUAAUAUAUGUGUGUGUGUGUGUGUUUGUAUUUGUGGGGGUGUGUGUGUAUGUGUUUAUGUGUGAGUGUGUGUGCGUGCAUGCGUGCAUGUGUAUGUGUGUUUGUGUGUGUGUGUGUGUGUGAUUGUGCGUUUGUGUGUGCAUGUUUGUGUGAGAGUGUGUGUAUGUGUGUGUGUUUGUGUGGGUAAUAUGUGUGUGUGGGUGUGUCUGUGUUUGUGUUUAUACGGUUACGUGUGUUUGUGUAUGUGUUUUUUUUGUGUGUGUGUGAGUCUUUGUGUGUGUGUGUUUCUGGAUGUAUGAGUGUCUAUGUGUAUAUGUGUGUGUGUGUGUUUUUAUAUGAUUGUGUGAGUGAUGUGUGUGUAUUUAUGUGUUUAUGUUGGUGGUAUGUGUGUGGGGGUAUAAGUUUGUAUGUGUGUGGGUGUGUGCGUGUGUGUAAUAUGUGUUUGUGUGGUUGUGUGUGUGAGUGUCUAUGUUUGUGGGUGUGUGUGUCUGUCUGAAUGUGUGUUUAUGUGUUGUGUGUGCAUGUUUGUGUGAGUGUAUGUGUCUGUGUGUGUGUUUGUGGGGUAAUGUGUGUGUGUGAGUGUGUUUGUGUCUGUGUUUGUAUAAUUACGUGUGUAUGUGUUUGUGUGUGAGUGUAAGUGGGUGUGUGUGUGUGUUUGUAGUGUAAUAUGUGUUUGUGUAUGUAAUAUAUGUGUGUGAAGGUGCAUGCGUGCGUGUAUCUAUGUGCGUAUGUGUGUGUGAAUGAGGAGUUUAUGUAUGUGUGUGUUUUUUUUGUGUUUGUUUGAGUCUGUGUCUUUGUUUGUGUGUUUGGGAGUGUUUGUGUGUUAGUGUCUUUGUGGGCGUAAUAUAUGUGUGGGUGGGUGGGUGUGAGUGUGUAUUUCUUUAUACUGUUAUGCAUGUGUGUGUGUUUAUGUGUUUCAUACAUGUGUUUGUCAGUGUGUGUGUGUGUCGGUUUGUGUGUGUAGGUGUGUUUCUGUGCGUGUUUCUGUUCGUGCGUGUGUGUUUGUUUGGGCGUGAGUUAGUGUGUGUAUUUUUAUUUGUGUUUGUAUGUGUUUGUUUCAGUAUGUGUGUGUGGGUGUGCGUGUGUGUUUGUGUGUGUGUGUGUGAUUGUAUGUUUUCAUGUUUGAGAAAGAGAGAGAGAAAGAGAAAAAGAGAGAGUGUGUGUGUGUCUAUGUGUUUGUGUCUAUUUGCGUGUGUUUAUGUAUUUAUGUGGGUGAUAUGUGUGUAUGGGUGAAUGGAAGUGUAGGUAUAAGUAGGUUUAUGUGUGUGUAAUAUAUGUGUUUGUAUGGGUGGGAAUGUGUGUAAUAUGUGUGUGUGUGGUUGUGCUUGCUUUCGGGGGUUAAAACCCCCGCUAAUACCGGCGGUUUUAACCCCCGCUAAUAGCAGGGGUUUUGGAAAACCGCCGGUAUUAGCGGGGGUUAAAACCGUCGGUAUUUGCGGGGGUUUUAACCCCCGAAAGCAACCACAAACACACACACAUACACAUACACACAUGCAUGCACACACAAACACACGCACACACACCCACCCAUACAAACAUAUAUUACACACACACACAAACCUAUACCUACACUUCCAUUCAUCCAUACACACAUAUCACCCAUAUAAAUACACAAACACACACAAACACAUAGACACACACACUCUCUCUUUUUCUCUUUCUCUCUCUCAAACAUGAAAACAUACAAUCACACACACACACAUACAGAAACAAACACAAAUAAACAUAAACACACUAACUCACGUAGAAACAAAAACACACACGCACAGAAACCCACACACAAACACACCAACACACACAAACCGGCACACACACACAGACAUGGACACACAAACACUCCCAAACACACAAACAUAUGCACACUCACAAUGUAUGUGUGCUAAUAGCGGGGGUUAAAACCGCUGGUAUUAGAGGAGGUUUAAAACCAACGGUAUUAGCAGGGGUUAAAACCGCCGGUAUUAGCGGGGGUUUUAACCCCCGAAAGCAAGCACAAACACAUACACAUACACACAUGCAUGCACACACAAACACACACACAUAUUACAUACAAACUCACCCAUACAAACACAUAUAUUACACACACACAAACCUAUACCUACACUUCCAUUCACCCAAACACACAUAUCACCCACAUAAAUACAUAAACACACACAAACACACACAGACAUACAUCACACACACAAACACAUAGACACACACUCUCUCUCUUUUUCUCUUUCUCUCUCUCUCAAACAUGAAAACAUACAAUCACAUACACACACAUACACACACACACACGCACACACACACGCAUACAGAAACAAACACAUACAAACACAAAUAAAAAUAGACACACUAACCCACGCCCAAACAAACACACAUACACGUACAGAAACACACACACGCACAAAAACACACACACAAACCGACACACACACAAACACAAAACCACACACACACACACACAUUGACAAACACAUGUAUUAAACACAUAAACACACGCACACGCACAACAGUAUAAACAAAUACACACUCACACCCACCUACCCACACUCAUAUUACGUACACAAAGACACUAACACACAAUCUCCCAAACACACAAACAAACACACACUUAAACAAACACAAAAAAAAAAAACACACACAUACAUAAACUCCUCAUUCACACACGCAUACGCAUAUAGAUACACACACACAUGCACCUUAACACACAUAUAUUACAUACACAAACACACACAUUACACUACAAACACACAAGCACACACACUUAUACUUACACUCACACCCAAACACAUACACAUACACACGUGAUUAUACAAACACAGACACAGACACACUCACACACACACACAGUACCACACAAACACACACACUCUAACACAAAUAUGCACACACAACACAUAAACACACAUUCAGACACACACACACAUAUAUGUGUGUUAAGGUACAUGUGUGCAUGUAUCUAUGUGCGUAUGUGUGUGUGAAUGUGGAGUUUAUGUAUGUGUGUGUCUUUUCUGUGUUUGAGUGUGUGUUUGUUUGUGCGUUUGGGAGUGUUUUGUGUGUAAGUGUCUUUGUGUGCGUAAUAUGUGUGUGGGUGGGUGGGUGUGAGUGUGUAUAUGUUUAUACUGUUGUGGGUGUUUUUGUGUUUGUGUUUAAUACAUGUGUUUGUCAGUGUGUGUGUGUGUGUGUGUAUGUGUGUGCUUUUGUGUUUGUGUGUGUCCAUGUGUGUGUGUGUGUCGGUUUGUGUGUGUUGGUGUGUUUCUGUGUCUGUUUCUGUGCCUGUGUGUGUUUGUUUGGGUGUGAGUUAGUGUGUGUAUUUUUAUUUGUGUUUGUUUCUGUAUGUGUGUGUGUGUGUAAGUGUGUGUGUGUGUGAUUGUAUGUUUUCAUGUUUCAGAGAGUGAAAGAGAAAAAGAGAGGGUGUGUGUGUCUAUGUGUUUGUGUGUGUGAUGUGUGUUUGUUUGUGUUUGUGUGUGUUUGUGUGUGUCUAUGUGUUUAUGUUAAGGUGCAUGUGUGUGUAUCUAUGUGCGUAUGUGUGUGAAUGGGGGGUUUAUGUAUGUGUGUGUUUUUUUGUGUUUGUUUGAGUGUGUGUGGUUGGGAGUGUUUGUGUGUUUGUGUCUUUGUGUGCGUAAUAUGUGUGUGUGUGUGUGGGUGUGAGAGUGUAUAUGUUUAUAAGGUUGUGCGUAUGUGUGUGUUUAUGUGUUUAAUACAUGUGUUUGUCGGAGUGUUUGUGUGUUUUUGCGUUUGUGGGUGUCCAUGUGAGUGUGUCGGUUUGUGUGUGUUUGUGUGUGUUUCUUUGGGCGUGAGUUAGUGUGUGUAUUUUUAUUUGUGUUUGUUUGUGUAUUUGUAUGUGUGAGUGUGUGUGUGUGUGCGUGUGUGUGUUUGUGUGUGAUUGUAUGUUUUAAUGUUUGAGACAGAGAAAGAGAAAAAGAGAGUAUGUGUGUGUCUAUAUGUUUGUGUGUGUGAUGUGUGUUUGUGUGUGUUUAUGUGGGUGAUAUGUGUGUAUAGGUGGAUGGAAGUGUAGGUAUAAGUUUGUGUAUGUGUGUGUAAUAUAUGUGUUUGUAUGGGCAGGUGUGUGUGUGUAAUAUGUGUGUGUGUUUGUUUGUAUGUGUUUGUGGUGGUCGGUGUAUGUGUGUGUGUUUGUGUGUGCAUGCAUGUGUGUAUGUGUAUGUGUGUUUGUGUGUUUGUGUGUGUGUGAAUGUGUGCUUGUGCUUGCUUGUUUGUGUGAGAGUGUGUUUGUGUUUCGGUGGCUAAUAUUGGCGGUUUUAACCCCCGCUAAUAUUGAUGCAGCUUCUCCCCACAACUUUUCCAAGGGUUUUCCUAAUCCGGGUAGCAUACUUUCCGGGGCUUAAAACCCCCGCUAAUACCGUCGGUUUUAACCCCCGCUAAUAGUGACGCAGCUUUUCCCCACAACUUUUCAAAGGGGUUUCCUAAUCGGGAAACAUACUUUCCGGGGGUUAAAC
rnacentral:lncRNA from 1 species